GUCUUCUCAUUGAGCUCCUUUCUGUCGAUAAGUGGCAGUUUAUGGAUUCGCACGAGAAGAAGAGACAAUUCACAGAGCUAGCAUUAUUUUUGCCUUCUGUCUUCACAGAGGUACAUUCUGCUGUUUUGUGAGACAUCU